UAAAACAUAGUGUUAAUGCACUAGAUCCCAUUAGAACUUCGUAGUUAAGCACACUUAAGCUAGAGUAGUACUGGGAUGGGUGACUCCCCAGGAAGUCCUAGUGUUUUAC
rnacentral:rRNA from 1 species